rnacentral:lncRNA from 1 species
GAUGCUUUCCAAGCUUUACAAGCCUCUGCUGUAGUGUCACCGUCACUCUUAAAAUUGGAGAUUGACCGCCUCCAAGGUUCACAAAUGUUUCAGCAACCCUAGGAAAGUCACCCGGGCUUCCCCGAAGCAGAGUUACAGGGCUUUUGAGUAACUCAUUCAUCACUCGGAUGGAGCCUUCCACUCCGACUCAAACUGGUUUCCAACAUAGGCCAUAUGCCUGGAGACCCUACCACACCUCAUGGUAAUUGAUCACCGUAGACCCAGGGACACUCGACUCAUCAUCAAGAGAGGGUAAUCGUCAUGAAUAAUCAAAAAGCUGUGGCUACGCUGCUGCAAGAGUGCAAGCAAGUGCUGGAUCAGCUCCUGUUGGAGGCGUCAGAUGUGUCAGAGGAGGACAAGAGGGAGGACCAGAGAUGCAGAGCCUCACUCCCCAGCGAGUUAAGAACCCUGAUCCAGGAGGCAAAGGAAAUGAAAUGGCCCUUCGUGCCUGAAAAGUGGCAAUACAAACAAGCUGUGGGCCCAGAGGACAAAACAAACCUGCAGGAUGUGAUUGGCGCCAGCUUGCAGCAGUUACUGGCGUGCCUGAAAGCCUCCAUCCUCGCCCGGGACUGCGCCACGGCCGCCGCCAUCGUGUUCCUGAGCGACCGUCUCCUGUACGGGCUUGACGUCUCGGGCCAGCUGCUGCAGGUCGCCAAAGCGCUGCACAGGCUGCAGCCCGCGACGCCCAUCGCCCCGCAGGUGGUCAUCCGCCAGGCCCGAAUCUCGAUGCAUGCAGGUACCUGGCUGUACAGAAAUGAAAGCGACAAGGUCCUAGUGCAGUCAGUCUGCAUACAGAUAAGAGGGCAAAUUCUGCAGAAGCUGGGGAUGUGGUAUGAAGCAGCAGAGUUAAUAUGGGCCUCGAUCAUGGGAUACCUGACACUUCCUCAGCCAGAUAAAAAGGGCAUUUCCACAUCGCUAGGUAUAUUGGCAGACAUCUUCGUCUCCAUGAGCAAGAAAGAUUAUGAAAAGUUUAAAAGCAAUCCUGACAUUAACCUGCGCUUGCUGAAGGAGUUUGACCACCACUUGCUGUCAGCCGCUGAAGCCUGCAAGCUGGCGGCUGCCUUCAGCCCCUACACGCCCCUCUUCGUGCUCACAGCUAUGAAUAUCCGUGGCACAUGCCUCUUGUCAUAUAGUAGUUCUAAGGACUGUCCUCCAGGAAUGAAAAAUUCAUAUCUAUGUGAAGCCAAAGAAGCCUUUGAAAUUGGCCUCCUCACCAAGAAAUGUGAUGAACCAGUUACGGGAAAACAGGAGCUCCAUAGUUUUCUUAAAGCUGCUUUUGGUCUCACCACUGUGCACCAAAGACUCUAUGGGGAGAUGGAGACCGUCCAAACAGCCAGUCAGCUCUGUAGUGAAGCUAUGGGAAAGCUGUAUACGUUCAGCAAUUCCUCCAGAAGUCAGGAGAGAGAAGCUGUCUCUCAGGAAAUCAUGUCUGUUAUCACCCGGGUGAAGGAACAGUUACAAGUUCAAAGCUUCUCAAAUUUAGAUGACAAGUCUUAUGUUCCAGAGGGAUUCAGGCGUGGGUCAGAGAAGCCCCUCUUACUUGGGCAAGUGGAUUUCCCCAAAAUCCUUGGAGCCUAUUCACAGCACCACACUUCAGUGUGUGAAAUAUUUGAAAGCACGUGUGGAAACAACAAAAAUAAACAGAAAGGUAUGAAAACAGGAGUCUGUAUCACGGAUCUGAAAACAGAAACAAAAAACAUAGAUACCGUGAGUGCCACGGAGGACAAAGCACAUUUUGAAAAAGGCAUGGUGAUAUCUUCCUCCCAAAUGGCAAUGAACAGUCAGGAGAAACUCAGGAGGGCGGGAAGGAGAAACUGGGCCGGUUCUGAUGCGUUUCGAGUCUCCGUGGAUGAAGAUGUGGAGACCGAAGCUGAGUCAACAGACCACAGCAGCGGUGGGGGAGCUGUCCUGAACAAGUCUCUGAGUGACAGCCCAAGCUCCAGUUCUUGGAGCAAGUUAUCAGGGUACCAGUCUUCUACAAGCUGGGAGGAAGUGAAUUAUGUUGAUGAUAUGUCCGCAGGAAGAGAGCUGAGCAAGGACGAGCAUCUUGUGGACACGCAGUGUUCCACUGCCCUGUCAGACGAGCAGGAAGUGAAUGGGGCGAGCAGAGCUGAGCACCCAUUGUCUUCAGAGCUGCACGGUCUCUCUCUCCAGGUGCCCAGGGAUGACAGUUUAGAGUCUUCUCAAGGUCAGCUGCACGAGUCCAUGCCCUUGGCAACCUUCCCACCUCAUAGCACAACAGACAUUUCAUUGGCCUCUGGUGGAGGGCGGUUUAAAGGAGGCAUGCAGGAAGUUGGAAAUGUGGGGUCCAGAAAUACUUCUGCUCAUUCCAGACCCUCAUUUUGUUCUGCUUCUUGGACUUCUGAUUCUGGUUGGCCUAAGAAUGUGGCCUCAUAUCCUUCCAUCCAAGAAGAAGAAACCUUUGAAACAAUUGAUGAGUUUCGAGAUAUCAACGGUGAUGCCAAGGACGAGGAUGAAGAAGAGAAGAGAGAAGAAAUCAAAGGAGGCACAGGUCCUCCAUUUAAAGAUAGCCCCUGCUGGGUUGACCCGGAAGGAGAAAUAGCAGAAAGAGCAGAGGAUGUUCCCGUAGACUUCCACUCAGUCGUGGACGAGUCUCUGGACGAAAGUUCCACAGUAGCAUGUAACUCUUACACUCCUCAUUGGCUUGUUCAAAACCCUAACUCAGGAAAAAAUGGUUGCUCAGUCAAAGAGCAGGGCAUUGACCCUGAUGCCUCCACGGUGGGUGAGGAGAGCCCACUGCUGGGCAGUGCAGAUGUUCACACCACGAGCACACGUGGCUCCCCUAGACCGUGCACUUGGAAGCAGCCGCACAUUCAGGGAGCCCAGAUCCCCAGUUCCUCAGUAAGCAGUAAGACUUCCACCCCUGUCCUCAGCGAGGACUGCACUACCACGGAGGAAGCAAAUGAACCUGGAAACCUGCUAAACUGCAGCCAGAACUCCAGCCUAUCCUCACCUUGGUGGCUGAAAUCACCGGCAAUCUCCAGUGGUUCUUCUGAGGGAGAAAAUCCAUGGUCUUUUCUGAAUUCCAGUGGAAGUUCUUUUGUUUCAUUGCCAGGAAUGACAAAGCAGGCGAUCCUUGAGGCCCGCACCCUGCAGCCUGAUGACUUUGAAAAACUCUUGGCAGGGGUGAGGCAUGAUUGGCUGUUCCAGAGACUGGAGCAUACAGGCGUUUUUAAAUCCAGCCAGCUCCACGGAGCACAUAGUGCUCUUUUGUUAAAAUAUUCCAAGAAAUCUGAACUGUGGACAGCCCAAGAAACUGUUGUAUAUUUGGGGGACUACCUACAUGUGACAAAGAAAGGCAGACAAAGAAAUGCAUUUUGGGUACAUCAUCUUCAUCAAGAAGAAACUCUGGGCAGAUACGUUGGGAAAGAAUAUAAGGAGCAGAAGGGGCUCUGGCACCACUUCACUGAUGUGGAGAGGCAGAUGACCGCACAGCACUACGUGACGGAAUUUAACAAGAGACUUUACGAGCAGAAGAUUCACACGCAGAUCUUCUACAUACCAGCCUCAGUAUUGCUGAUCUUAGAAGGCAAGACAAUAAAAGGAUGUGUCAGUGUGGAACCUUACAUGCUAGGGGAAUUUGUAAAAUUAUCAAAUAACACAAAAGUGGUGAAAACAGAAUACAAAGCCACAGAAUACGGCUUGGCUUAUGGCCACUUUUCUUACGAAUUUUCCAAUCAUAGAGAUGUUGUGGUUGAUUUACAAGGUUGGGUGACUGGGAAUGGAAAAGGGCUCAUCUACCUCACAGAUCCCCAGAUUCACUCAGUUGAUCAGAAAGAUGUCACUACCAAUUUUGGAAAGAAAGGAAUUUUCUACUUCUUUAAUAACCAGCAUGUGGAAUGUAAUGAAAUAUGCCAUCGUCUUUCUUUGACAAGACCUUCGAUUGAGAAACCAAACAAUCCAUAG